CGUGUAGGCGGCUCAUCAAGUCUGGUGUGAAAGCGCAAGGCUCAACCUUGCGUAUGCGCUGGAAACUGGUGGGCUGGAGUUCCUGAGGGGAAGCUGGAAUUCCAGGUGUAGGGGUGAAAUCUGUAGAUAUCUGGAAGAACACCGGUGGCGAAGGCGAGCUUCUAUCAGAGGACUGACGCUGAGGCGCGAAAGCGUGGGGAGCAAACAGGAUUAGAUACCCUGGUAGUCCACGCUGUAAACGAUGUGCACUAGGCGUGGGGCACGUACGUGUUCUGUGCCGUAGUUAACGUGAUAAGUGCACCGCCUGGGGAGUAUGCUCGCAAGGGUGAA
rnacentral:rRNA from 1 species